UGGGGAGUCGUCUAACGGUAGGACGGCUGACUCUGGAUCAGCAAGUUGGGGUUCGAAUCCCUGCUCCCCAGCCC
rnacentral:tRNA from 1 species